rnacentral:rRNA from 1 species
UACGUAGGGUGCGAGCGUUAAUCGGAAUUACUGGGCGUAAAGCGUGCGCAGGCGGUCUAUUAAGACAGAUGUGAAAUCCCCGGGCCUAACCUGGGAACUGCAUUUGUGACUGGCAGGCUAGAGUAUGGCAGAGGGGGGUAGAAUUCCACGUGUAGCAGUGAAAUGCGUAGAGAUGUGGAGGAAUACCGAUGGCGAAGGCAGCCCCCUGGGCCAAUACUGACGCUCAUGCACGAAAGCGUGGGGAGCAAACAGG